ACGUAGGGGGCAAGCGUUGUCCGGAUUUACUGGGCGUAAAGCGCGCGUAGGCGGAUGUUUAAGUGUGGCCUGAAAGCCCCCGGCUCAACCGGGGAGGGUGGCUGCAAACUGGGCAUCUUGAGGGGGAUAGAGGAGAGUGGAAUUCCGGGUGUAGCGGUGAAAUGCGUAGAGAUCCGGAGGAACACCAGUGGCGAAGGCGGCACACUAGGACCAACCUGACGCUGAGGCGCGAAAGCAUGGGUAGCGAACGGGA
rnacentral:rRNA from 1 species